rnacentral:rRNA from 1 species
AUUGAACGCUGGUGGCAUGCUUAACACAUGCAAGUUGCACGGCAGCAUGAUCUUGCUUGCAAGAUUGAUGGCGAGUAGCGGACGGGUGAGUAAAGCAUAGGGAUCUACCCUAAAGUGGGGGACAACGGAGGGAAACUUUCGCUAAUACCGCAUAAUACCUGUGGUUAAAGUCUGCUUUAGGCAGGCGCUUUAGGAUGAACCUAUGUCAGAUUAGCUAGAUGGUGGGUAAGGCCUACCAUGGCGACGAUCUGUAGCUGUUCUGAGAGGAAGAUCAGCCACACUGGGACUGAGACACGGCCCAGACUCCUACGGGAGGCAGCAGUGGGGAAUAUUGGACAAUGGGGGCAACCCUGAUCCAGCAAUGCCACGUGUGUGAAGAAGGCCUGAGGGUUGUAAAGCACUUUAGUCAGGGAGAAGGUUCAUAUGUUAAUAGCAUAUGGAAUUGACGUUA